UGGGGAAUUUUGCGCAAUGGGGGAAACCCUGACGCAGCAACGCCGCGUGAGUGAUGAAGGCCUUCGGGUCGUAAAGCUCUGUCAGAGGGGAAGAAAUGCAGUGGUGCUAAUAUCAUCAUUGUUUGACGGUACCCUCAAAGGAAGCACCGGCUAACUCCGUGCCAGCAGCCGCGGUAAUACGGAGGGUGCGAGCGUUGUUCGGAAUUAUUGGGCGUAAAGCGCGUGUAGGCGGUCUGGUAAGUCUGAUGUGAAAGCCCCGGGCUCAACCUGGGAAGUGCAUUGGAAACUGUCAGACUUGAAUACGGGAGAGGGUAGUGGAAUUCCUAGUGUAGGAGUGAAAUCCGUAGAUAUUAGGAGGAACACCGGUGGCGAAGGCGGCUACCUGGACCGAUAUUGACGCUGAGACGCGAAAGCGUGGGGAGCAAACAG
rnacentral:rRNA from 1 species